GACGAACGUUGGCGGCGUGCUUAAUACAUGCAAGUCAACUGAAGCAGUGGUAGCAAUAUCGCUGUGGAGGUGGCGCACGGGUGAGUAACACGUAGGUAAUCUGCCUUCAGGUCUGGCAUAACUCCGGGAAACCGGGGCUAAUAGCAGAUGAUGCAGCGGCUCGACAUCGAGACAGUUGUCAAAGCUAUGGCGCCUGAAGAUGAGCCUGCGUCUGAUUAGCUAGUUGGCGGGGUAACGGCCCACCAAGGCAACGAUCAGUAGCUGGUCUGAGAGGAUGAUCAGCCACACUGGAACUGAGACACGGUCCAGACUCCUACGGGAGGCAGCAGUAAGGAAUAUUGCUCAAUGGGAGAAAUCCUGAAGCAGCAACGCCGCGUGAGGGACGAAGGGCUUUUGCUUGUAAACCUCUGUAGUGAGAGAAAAAAAUCCCAAUCUUUGGGACAUGAUGGUAUCUCAAAAGUAAGCCCCGGCUAACUACGUG
rnacentral:rRNA from 1 species